rnacentral:lncRNA from 1 species
AUGCUAACAAGAAAGGAGGAAAAAAAUAUCUCUUCCUCCCUCCCGGUCAACCCUUCAGGCCGCUCUCCGGCCGGCCUGGCAGCGGCGAGCCCAUCCCCCCGCGCCCUCCCAGCCCAGACGUGCGACUGGUACAGAUUAAAAAUGUUGAGGCUGCUGUAUUUCCAGGAAAUCAGUUUGUAUUCAAGCACUCUUACACUCAAACCCAUGAAAGAAAGCCAAGAUCUUCUCUUUUUACCACGUCAUCUUCAGAAAGGGGGAGUUUUGAUAUCAUUUGUGGAACACACUGAGUCCUUGAGAAUACACAAUGGGCUCCCCAACAAAGGAGGUGGCAGAUCCAGAGGAAGUGAAACUUUCUGUGGGGGAGAAAAAAAAUAAUAAAGUGGGUUAAAUCUUUCUUUUUCCUCUUGAGUCCCUCUUUUCUGUAUUUGUGACCUGUGUGGUAAUACCAGGUCUGGAGUAUCCCUUUAUCACUAAAAGUUACAGUGGAUAGCAUAAGGUUCAGAUUUAAAACACCAUGGAGCGAACAAUUCAGGAAAAUUCUGCUUUAAUGCCUUAAGGAAGUUGAGGGCCAGAAACCAACAAUGAUGAGGACUAAAGAUUUAGCUAGAAGUCAUAUACAAUCGCCGGGAGGGUCCCUUGAACUUUUCUGGACCCCUCCUAAGUCCAGAAAAGUCACAGUGGCAGUAGCCAGGGGUUGUUAGUGGCAUCAGAACCCACUUCUAAUGAGACACAACUAACAAGCAUUGAAGCUAAUUUCUUUCCUUAAGUGGUUUUGAAAUUUGAUGCAAGUACUAGUGUUAUGGGGGGGGGGGGGGGGGGGGCGUGUGCCCACAGCAUGUGGAAGUUCUCCAGCCAGAGAUCAAACUCAUGCCACAGAAGUGACAAUGCCAAAUCCUUUAACAACUAGGCCACCAGGGAACUCCAGUACUAGUGUUAUUUUAUAUCAGUUAUUUAUUUUGUUAUUUUAAAUCUUAUAUAUACUUUUUUAUCUUAUUUUAAAUUUUGUCUUACUUGAAUAUACUCAGUAUAGGAAGUUGACGUUACUCUCUGAGCCCCCCCCCCCUUUGUUCUUAAAUAAUAAAUACAGCUCCAGGAGGUCUCA